GGGCAUGUAGCGCAGUUGGUAGCGCGCUCGCUUAGCAAAUGCGAACUGCAGAUACGCAUGCGAGAGGUCCUGGAUUCAAAUUCCAGCUUGUCCA
rfam:Rhizoctonia solani AG-1 IA unplaced genomic scaffold scaffold5, whole genome shotgun sequence.